GAUGAACGCUAGCUACAGGCUUAACACAUGCAAGUCGAGGGGCAGCGGGAUUGAAGCUUGCUUCAAUUGCCGGCGACCGGCGCACGGGUGAGUAACGCGUAUCCAACCUUCCGUACACUCAGGGAUAGCCUUUCGAAAGAAAGAUUAAUACAAGAUGGCAUCAUGAGUCCGCAUGUUCACAUGAUUAAAGGUAUUCCGGUAGACGAUGGGGAUGCGUUCCAUUAGAUAGUAGGCGGGGUAACGGCCCACCUAGUCUUCGAUGGAUAGGGGUUCUGAGAGGAAGGUCCCCCACAUUGGAACUGAGACACGGUCCAAACUCCUACGGGAGGCAGCAGUGAGGAGUAUUGGUCAAUGGGCGAGAGCCUGAACCAGCCAAGUAGCGUGAAGGAUGACUGCCCUAUGGGUUGUAAACUUCUUUUAUAAAGGAAUAAAGUCGGGUAUGGAUACCCGUUUGCAUGUACUUUAUGAAUAAGGAUCGGCUAACUCCGUGCCAGCAGCCG
rnacentral:rRNA from 1 species